rnacentral:Y_RNA from 1 species
GGCUGGUCCGAAGGUAGUGAGUUAUCUCACUUGAUUGUUCACAGUCAGUUACAGAUUGAACUCCUUGUUCUACCACUUAACGCCCUCCUCACUACUGCACUUGACUAGUCUUAA